AUAUAUCAACCUCCUCAACUUGUGUUGAGUGUUGGAUGUGGGGGGUUCUUUUUUUGCUGGCUUUUACGGUCAGCUCCCCUGAAAUGCAUUAGCGGAACAACCUGUUCACUGUUCAUUGGCGUGAUAACUAUCUACGCUGCUUGUUGACAGUGACGCAAGUUCAGCUUCUAACAGUCCAUUAAAUUGGACAAAUUUUUAUUA
rnacentral:misc_RNA from 1 species